ACAGCCCUUUUUUGUAUUUUAUUUAGCGACAAGGUCUCACUAAAUUACUUAGGGCCUCCCUAAGUUGCUGAGGCUUGCUUUUAAAUCAUGAUUCUUCUGUCUUAGCCUCCAGAGCUGCCGGUAUUACAGAUGUGCGGCACCAUUUUAAUAAUUAUUGAGACAGUUUAAAAUAGGAUAGUCUGGUUCACAAUAUGUCAUCCAUAUUAUCUGUGCUUGGCACAUAGUGGGCAUUUGGUGCAUAAUUCAGCAAUUUCAUUUAAAAAUUGUCUGAAUAAAUAAAUGAAAUAAAUAAAUGAAAGUAUCACAGAUCAGUUGUUAACAGGUGAGCUGAGACUAUGUAAUGGGAUAUAGCAACAGAUAAACAGAGAACAGUAUUGAUUAAUUCAAAAGGUAAAAAGGCAGACAGGUAGUGCCUAAGUCUGCUGACUGGAAGUAAGGUCCUAGACAUUGGGGCACAUUCUGGGGCCUGGGAGAGGGCCUGGGUAGAGGAGGGCAGGCUGAAUUAUGACAGCAGACAAAGCAGGGAUUGACCUAGCACUUGCAGCAAAAUAGGAAUGCAGUUUUCAAAGGUGACACUAGGCUAGGGGCAGACUUUCAGAAGGGAGACUCAAGUACUUAAGUUGGUCCCACCUAAUCUGAUAGGCUCUGGGAGCUGGGGUGAAUUGGCAAACAAUCUCAGUCAUGAUUAGAACUUGGGGACAGAAGCUAAAAUCCAGCCUGGGUUUUCACUUAAUCUCUUUUCCCAUGUUACCAGCAAUAAACUCAGUUUCCUAAGUUUAUUCGGCAAUUUCUUUUAUCUUUAAAAAGGUUUCAUUGGGGAAAAAUCACAGCUGGGUAAGGGAAAAGGUGACUUUUAGAGGCAAGAGAAAGAAUUGAGGGAGCUCUAUAAGCCAUUUCACAUCUCACAUCGAAGAGUUUGAAAGCCACUGAUACAAUACCUACCAGGGGUGGAUACAUGGCUAAAUACAAGACAGGGUAUAAUAUGAAAGAAGUCUUGCUGCUGAAUGGAUGAAGGGAGGAGAAGAUGACUCCUAAAAAAUUCACGUCCUCCAUAAAUCCAUCUUAGAUUGAUCAGAAAGAGAUUAAUGAUUUCUACUGGAACCAAUUUAUCUCAACCUUGAAGUUUAAGUUCUACUCCCCUUGUUCUUCAAUCCCCAACAAAAAAUUUACACUUGAUUUCUUUCCAACUUGCAAAUGGCCAGAACAUACUGUGAAUAAUUUUAAUGUCCCUGUAUGCCUCUGUGUAACAUUCUUAUUUUGUAGUAUAAAUCUUUUUCUCUGUUUUUAUGUAUCAUUGCAACUUGAUUCAGAUUCUAAAUUUGACAGAUAGGAAUUCUCAGACUGCAGGAUAGGCAUCAUGUAGCAAAACUUCAUCAAUUUAUUCACAAUUUAUUCUACCAUGUACUAGAAAUUGACCAGGAAGUUGGAAAUACAAAAAUGAGACACAAUGCCUUCCCUUAACAUGUUCGUGUGAAUGGAGAAAUGAUGUAAACAACUGUGUAUAGCCUUUAUUACAUAGCCCUGAAGUUGUAAAAAUUCCCAAAUCUCAGUAUCUGAUUUAAUUUCUUUCAUUAAAUAUUGACUUGGUGGCUA